AAACAAUGAUAAAACAAAAAGCAGAGCUGAGAAAGCCAACAAGAGGUGGAGCUGAAAAUAUGUGCUGAGAGCCAAAUAUAAAAACUGUGUCAUUUGGAGGAGUCAUUAUGCAGGAUCCAUGGGUAUGAAGCUUGCUAUUAAUAGGGCUGAACCAGUUCAUACAAGCAGAAAGAACAUAAUCAAAGGCAUAGGGGUAAAAAUUAGAUGGAGUUUUCUGUCCCUUUAUCUCAUAAGCAUUUACUUUGUUGGGUUGUUUCUGGACAUACUUCUAGCAUCUUUAUAUCCAUACAUUAUAUUGCACAGGGAACCAAGAACUUAACAAGAAGUGGGGUAAAAAAGAACAGAAAGAUGUGAAUGGCAUUAUAUGAGGAGCUUGAACACAAGGAAUGCAACUAUGCACAAAUGUAAUUUUCUGAUGGAAGAAAGAUUCCAAGAACCCGUGGAUUUCAAGUAUAUAUUAUAAGAAUGCCUUUGACGAAAAAAAAAAGAAAGAAAGAAAGAAAGAAAAGAAAAUCAAAACAGGUCACACUGUUUGGGAGAUGUCACUCUGUCAACUGUGCUAGAGUACAGUGGUGCAAUCUCAGCUCACUUAAGCCACAACCUCCUGGCCUCAAGUGAUCCUCCUGCCUCAGCCUCCCUAGUAGCUGGGACUACAGGAGCAUGCCACCACACCUGACUGGACUGAUUCCCACCAUGGAAAAGUCCUCUAAGAAGUGAGCAUGACUUCAGGCUCCACUCAGGAGGGAGAGUGGAACCUCCUUGACCACAUCAUUACAGAGGCG
rnacentral:lncRNA from 1 species